AAAGUGCAAAAAUCUAAACAUGUACUUUCCAAGCUUUGAGAGAGAGAUUGUUGGGGACGAGUUAAGUGUUUUCAGUUUAUGGCAAUGAUUUGUGAGGCUAUGAAAAAGAAAGCGGCUAUGAAAUACAUUUUUGCAUAAAGGUUUGAAAUGUAUUAGAAGGUAAAAAUAAUUGAAAAAGCAGAGCUUUCCUCAGUGGGUUAUAAUAAAAAGUUAUUUAUGUGCCAUCAGUGUGCAUGUUUAGGAGCUUGGGUCCUUCUCAGAGGCUGUUCUCAAAGAAACAGGAAGGAAGCAAAGCUAUUAAAGCUAUUCCAUUGAAAAAGCUGACAUACAUACACAGUAAUUCUGACAACUGGGCCGUAUUAAAACAAUUGGUAAUAAUAGUCAAAUUGCUGGUGUCUGAUUUCUCUUAUAAAAGCUUAAUAGGUACACACUGUAGGCAGCUGUUUGCAAAAUCUGCCAACCUUGCCCUUGGUAUAAUAGAAUGGUAGACUCAGGAAGUAGUAUUCAUUUACCUGAGUUCCAUUAAGACCUUCACUGUGGGGUUUAAACAUUCAGCCCUAAUCUUAGAAUUCACCUGCCAUAUAGUAUCUCAUAAAGCUCUUUGAGAUCGUUGGCCAAAAGAGAAGGCACAAAGCCUCUAUUAAUGUUCAUUUAGCGGAAGUGCCCUCCCACUUAUAAUGGUAUAUAUCAUAUAUUAUCUUACCAUAUCCUUUCAGUUCUCAAAAGUGAACUUUGGGACGUGAAAUGAUGCCGGGCAGGCGUCCAGCGGACUGUUUCACGACAAAGCAAGAAAAGAUCCAUUUUUGAAUCUCUGCUUUACUCAUAUUCUUCAGCCUUCUGAGAAGCAACUCUUCUCUCCUCUCCUUGGUAGACAGCCUGCUAAUUUGCAGUGGGAAUUAUUGGUGCCUUUGAAUGUUGACCACCUUGUCAGUUUCAUCUGUUCUGGGUAGAGCUUAGAGUUUUAGGUAGUGAAAGGAAGAUGGAAAGAUUUAAUGAGUCUUUUGAGACAUUCCCUAUGAACACAUUCAGGGGGAAAGAUGGUAAUAACCUAGUCCAGAGUUCCAGUUUUAAUGGAGUGUCUUUAGUUUGAUGACAGACUGAAUUUGCCUCUAGAUUUUCUGUCUUCUUUGUUCAUCAGGAAUUCCAAUGCUCAAGAUCGUGUUUGCAGGCCACGAGCACCUCUCUCUAAUAUCUGUGCCCCUGCUCAUAUACCACCCAGUUCAGAUCCUUCUGGGAAGUGUGUUGGUGCCAACAAUAAAGUCUUGGAUGGUGUCAAGGCAGAAGGGAGUGAAGUUGACGAGGCCAACAGUGUAAGAAGGGAGGCACUCUUCAUGCAGCGAUGUAUAUAUGUGCAGGAUUGCACAUGCAGACAGUUCUGAGGGCUUGUACUUGGGAAUGUUGCUUCGAUGCAUAUUUUAUUUUUUUACACAAAAAUAUGAUAUAACAGUUUAAGUGCCUUAAAAUGUGUUUGACAGGAGCGUUAUUUCCAAAACCUACUUUGUUGGUUACUGCCAGGGAUGGUACCAUAUUUUGGAGAGGUUUAAUUUUUUUUUCCCAAGCACGGGAAACCAUGAUCGUGACAAAAAGCAAACAUGCUCCCCUCGUACCACCUUGGGUGCAAUACAACCCUUCACUAGUUACUGUGCUGUUUGAAAUGAGGUCACACCGUCAGGAAAAUCCCUUCUGAUGACAGUGAAAAUUUCCAGUCUUAUUCAUGAAUACUUUGAUUUACUGUGUGAUUCUUUGUUUCUACAACUGUGACAUGUCUCUUCCUUAUCAGCUCAGCAGGGGUCAUGGAUUGCAUAGAUGCAGAAAGGCGUAAGUUAUCUGCAUUUCUUGACAUCAUUUUUUAGACAUUCCUUCAGAUAGUUUCCACACAGAAAUUCCUCAGUCCCAUUAUGAGAUUGUGGUGUUAUAUGUCUUAAAUUUAUUAUAAGCUGCUUCAAAGAGAGAGCCUGAUGUUUGAGUUAGAAGUAAGUGAAGUUUUGAGGUAAACUACAGGACUUGUAUUCAGGAUUUUUAAAAUUUUCAUUUAUUUUCCCUUUUUCCGCCAUAAUUUCUUUCUUAACUGUUUUCCAGCACACUUGCCAACUCCUAACAGCCAAAUGUGAGAUGUAAAAAUGUUACAGUCAGUUUGAGAACAGCAACAGUUAAUGAUGGAUUAUAUUCACAUUCCACAACUGAAACCAAAAUUUUUUCUUGUUACACAGAUGUCUGAGCACAAAUUGCCCCUUUUAGCCAGAAGCAGCCUGUUUCAUCCCUGAAUUAAGCACACUUAAAGGCAUUUGAGACAAGUUAUUAAUGAAAAUUUCCUUGGCAGAUUUGACAAAUGUUUGCAACAAUUUCUUAAAAUUAAAUCAUAUUGUUCUUAUGAAUAAAUAAAAAUAUAAAGGUCAUGGACACAAACAAAUGUUACAUAUACACAUUCUGUCUAGCCAGAUGGAAAGAAAAAUGGGCACAGAAAAUGCAAAACCAUUCAUUAACCAAAAGAUCAAAUAAAACAAGUCCCCAGUUGGGCAUCAGCUUUCAAAGGAGAAUUCAAUCUUUGCUUCCACUGUGGCUGGACGAACUUUCACUGGACCCAAAUAGAGAAGAAAGCGAUAUAGAGAAUUAAAGGACACUGUUCCUCUGUUUCCUGCCCAGCAUUCUGUCACGUCCUCUCUGCAUGUCCUCUCUUGAUUUCACAGACAGUAUCGGCAUCCUGGGUCACACUGACGCUGACUCUGUGGUCAGCAACGGAAAAGAUCCUUCCUUAGAAACUUACCAGGUUUAUCAGUAGCGUAAAUUCAUAUUAUCGUCACAACCCGGUCUCAUCUCGUGUUCCUUCUGACCAUUUCAAUAUUACUGAACCUCAUAAAUUUCACAAGAGUUAUCCUCAGUGUAAAUUUUAAGGCUAGCACCAGACUCUGCAAAAAUCUGUGGUGAACAGGCUGUUUGUCAAGAAUUUCACUUAUAUCUAAAACUCCAGUAAUUUCGAUGCUCACGAAUGGAGCACAGAAAGGUUUUCAUGUUUUGUUCCUACAAGUUUCUUGGAAUUUCAGAGGCAAUGGGGUUGUCUGUCUGAGCUAUAAAAAUCUUUCUCCCUAGCAUUAGAAUACUGAUUUUUUUCUCCCCAACUUAUCUACCUCUAUUGUCUAACACCUACAGUAGGUGUGAUUAUGGGAUAAGGUUCAACUGAAAAUGCUAUAACAUGCUUUAAAAAACAUGUUUUGUUUUCAAAUAAUCUCUACAUAGUGCAUUUUGAUGGCUUUAGUGAUACGUUUAUGCCUAUUUCUUUUUUUACACAGUUACUGUGGUGUAUUUUUCCAUAAAGAAUUAAAAAAUAAAAUCAAAAUUUAUUUGUAAGUCAUGCUUAUUGGGAUUUAAUUAUUCACCUCAAAAUAUUUUAUUAUUGUGUUAUGCACUGUCAGGCUAUCCGUUUAUGCAUUUUUUUUUGUCUAAAUGUAUUUAUGAAGGAAAUACAUUAGAUUAUGUUUACUCAUUUUUCCACUUGGUUUUUUUUAAGUGGUUGUUACGAAAUUUGAUUUUUUUAAAUGGGUGAUAAUGUUAAUCUUUUCAUGUGUUCUUUUCUAAGUUUUAAAUUCUGUAUUUUUUUAAAAUUCCCUAUUCUGUUUAAAACUAACACACCUCUGGCUAAUGUUCAGUGUUUGUUUAUGCUAAAUACCAAAUUUUUACAAAAGGACUGGUGAAAUAAUAAAGUGGAUUAUUUAUGAUGAAUGGAAGAUGGAAAUAAUUCUAUGAUUAAACAAAGAGAUGUUUCAGAAAUCA